ensembl:miRNA
UGAACAAGGUAGUUUGGGGCUGUAAACAUCCCCGACUGGAAGCUGUCCAUCUGCAGAGCUUUCAGUCCGAUGUUUGCUGCUGCCAACUGCCUCCAGCU